GUCCACGCCGUAAACGAUGAUAACUAGCUGUCCGGGCUCUCAGAGCUUGGGUGGCGCAGCUAACGCAUUAAGUUAUCCGCCUGGGGAGUACGGUCGCAAGAUUAAAACUCAAAGGAAUUGACGGGGGCCUGCACAAGCGGUGGAGCAUGUGGUUUAAUUCGAAGCAACGCGCAGAACCUUACCAGCGUUUGACAUGUCUAGUUUGGUUUCCAGAGAUGGAUUCCUUCAGUUCGGCUGGCUAGAACACAGGUGCUGCAUGGCUGUCGU
rnacentral:rRNA from 1 species